GCCUUCGGGGUGUAAUUGGAAGCAAACUCGACUUUUAUUCGAGAGGUCCAGGGUUCGAAUCCCGACAAGGGUA
rnacentral:tRNA from 1 species